AAAUGCGGCUGGUGGCUGGACCACCCCUCCAGCGACUUCUGCUACCUGAUCAUCCCACAGCCCACCAAGACCUGGCAGGAGGCGCAAGACCACUGCCGAGCCCACCAAGGGAACCUGCUCAGCAUCGCCGACUCGCACGAGCAGGACUUUGUACACGGUUUCGUCACGGGUCAGGCACAAGCGUCCUCUCUGUGGUUGGGCGCCGAUGUCUCACUCGAUGACGAUAACGGCAAAUGGAUUGACGGAUCCUCGUUCACGUUCAAGCGCCAUUGUGACGGUGAUGCCGAAGGGGGGAAAUGUCUUUCCUUGCUCACCGGCAGCAGUGACUGGGAGCGUGACAAGUGCGACAACAGGAAAGGCUACGUCUGCAAGAAAAGAGGAAAAGGAAAGACAGCAAAACCCCAGCUGCUGCUACAUGACGGCUACAAGGAGGAAUUUGUCUGCCAAGACGAUUUGAGAUUCCUUGAAUGUUCCGAUGAAAGCGUCAUCCGCGUACAGUCGGCUUUCCAUGGACGGAGGCGUAGCGACGUCUGUCCGA